rnacentral:snRNA from 1 species
AUGCAAUAAAAUGCACCAUGAUUCUAUUGAAAAAAAUACAGAGAAAAUUAACAUAGCCCCUGCAUAAGGAUGACACACAAAUUCAUGAAGCAUUUCACAAAGAU